GUCCCAGCAGCCGCGGUAAUACGGAGGGUGCAAGCGUUAUCCGGAUUCACUGGGUUUAAAGGGUGCGUAGGUGGGCAGGUAAGUCAGUGGUGAAAUCUCCGGGCUUAACCCGGAAACUGCCGUUGAUACUAUUUGUCUUGAAUAUAGUGGAGGUGAGCGGAAUAUGUCAUGUAGCGGUGAAAUGCUUAGAUAUGACAUAGAACAUCGAUUGCGAAGGCAGCUCGCUACACCAUUAUUGACACUGAGGCACGAAAGCGUGGGGAUCAAACAGGAUUAGAAACCCUCGUAGUCC
rnacentral:rRNA from 1 species